rnacentral:lncRNA from 1 species
AAGGAACCGGUGCUGAGCAAUAGCUACAUUGCUCUUUAUCUUCUUCUGCAAGUUCGAUGCAGCGAGACCUGUUUUUCGACAAGACAGACACUAAAAAUUAGUAAGAGUUUAAGCGUAAUUGAGAAUAGAUUUAACUCCUGCAAUGAUUUUUCAUAACAAGCCCGUCCUUUCAAUAAACCAUCAGUAGCACCAGGAAUAAAAGUUGUUUCAAUUAACUGAACAUUGUUUUUUAGUUUGAAUGGAAGCAAAUGCUUUGUAAAACAGAAGUGAUUGCAUUAAUGCAAGAGACUAAAACUGCAUUCUUCUUUCAAAAUAUUUUAGGGAAGUGAAUUUUAUGCAAAGUUUUCCUACCAAGAUGCUACCUAUCAACACAGAAAUACGAAAACUACUCGCAUAUCAGUUAUGAAAGUAAGGACCUUUUGCAGGUUUUAAUCUCUGUUGCCACAACUUUUAGUUGGUCGUGUACUUGAUGAUUAUUAUUUGCAACCCACUGCUCCAUUUGUGCCAUACCAAAAGGAUACCAAUAUCCAGGCUCAGAAGAAGUGGUGGCUGAGUUGGAUGCGAAACUUCUAUAAGCAGAAAAACUAAUACCCACAAGUCUCUCUCGCAGUUCUUUUUCACUUCUUGAAAGUAAGUCCAUCCAUAACUUAUGUUGCUUAUCUUGAGCAAAAUUGGGAUUAUCUACUGUAAAGUUCAACAAGUUGCUAUUUAUUUCAUCUGCAUUCAACUCCGGUAGUAUUACUUGUCUGCAAAUGAUGUUUAGGAGGUGCAACUGGCGUGAAGCAGCUUUACAAAAACUUUUACAGACAUGUGGCAGAA